ACUUUUCUCAUAACUUACCAAAAGGCUAGCAAACCUGCCUGGAAACUUAGAGCAUUAAUAGAUUCUAGUUAUUAUAACAUAUGUAAUAGUAACGCGUUUCCUUUCAUUCCCCUGGUCUGUCAUUUACUUCCUGUGUAGCUUUGGCUGAUCUCCUCUGUGUGCUACUAGUGGCACCUCCUCCCCACAUAGAUACAGAAAUACUAGAAGGGACAAAGCCCAUCAGACCAGGCCAAUUUGACAGGAACACUCAUGGGUACACUCGUUAUAGCUGGUCGACCCUUAUCAAUCAAUCAAAUGUAUUUAUAAAGCCCUUUUUACAUCAGCUGAUGUCACAAAGUGCUGUUUUAAAGAAACUCAUCCUAAAACUUCAAACAGCAAACAAUGUUGAUGUAGAAGCACGGUGGCUAGGAAAAACUCUCUAGAAAGGCCAGAACCUAGGAAGAAACCUAGAGAGGAACCAGGCUCUGAGGGGGGCCAGUCCUCUUCUGGCUGUGCCGGGUGGAGAUGUUCAAAUGUUCAUAGAUGACCUGCAGGGUCAGAUAAUAAUAGUCACAGUGGUUGUAGAGGGUGCAACAGGUCAGCACCUCAGGAGUAAAUGUCAGUUGGCUUUUCAUAGCCGAUCAUUCAGAGUUAGAGAUGAGGUGCGGUAGAGAGAGGGUCCAAAACAGCAGGUCCGGGACAAGGUAGCACGUUCAGUGAGUAGGUCAGGAUUCCAUAGCCGCAGGCAGAACAGUUUAAUUUGGAGCAGCAGCUUGACCAGGUGGACUGGGGAAAGCAAGGAGCCAUCAGGCCAGGUAGUCCUGAAACAUGAUCCUAGGGGAGAGAGAGAGAGCCCCCAGACACAAACUAUUGCAGCAUAAAUACUGGAGGCUGAGACAGGAGGGGUCGGGAGACACUGUGGCCCUGUCCAACGAUACCCCCAGGGCCAAACAGAGAUCUCCACAAGCCUGAGGGGGGCGCCAACCUGAACAGGAAGGUCAUGUCAGUGACCUAACCCACUCAAGGGACAGCAUGGAAGAGAACCAGUAAGCCAGUGACUCAGCCCCCGUAAUAGGGUUAGAGGCAGAGAAUCCCAAUGGAGUGAGGGGAACUGGCCAGGCAAGGGAGGUUCGUCGCUCCAGUGCCUUUCCGUUCACCUUCACACCCCUGGGCCAGGCUACACUUAGUCAUAGGACCUACUGAAGAGCUGAGUCUUCCAUAAAGACUUAAAGGUCAAGACCGAGUCUGUGUCUCUCACAUGGAUAGGCAGACCAUUCCAUAAAAAUUGAGCUUUAUAGGAGAAAGCCCUGCCUCCAGCUGUUUGUUUAGAAAUUCCAGGUACAGUAAGGAGGCCUGCGUCUUGUGACCGUAGCGUACAUGUAGGUAUGUAAAGCAGGACCAAAUCGGAAAUGUAGGUAGGAGCAAGCCUAUGCAAUGCUUUGUAGGUUAGCAGUAAAACCUUGAAAUCAGCCCUAGCCUUAACAGGAAGCCAGUGUAGAGAGGCUAACACUGGAGUAAUAUGAUACCAUUUUGGGGUUUUAGUCAAGAUUCUAGCAGCCGUGUUUAACACUAACAGAAGUUUAUUUAGUGCUUUAGCCGGAUAUUAGAGCAUUGCAGUAGUCUAAUCUAGAAGUGACAAAGCAUGGAUACAUUUUUCUGCAUCGUUUUUGGACAGAAAGUUUCUGAUUUUUGCGAUGUUACGAAGAUAGAAUAAAUCUGUCCUUGCAAUGUUCUUGAUAUGUUCGUCGAAAGAGAUCAGGGUCCAGAGUAACGCCGAGGUCCUUCAGUUUUUAUUUGAGUUGACUGUACAACCAUCAAGAUUAAUGGUCAGAUCCAACAGAAGAUACCGUUGUUUCUUGGGACCUAGAACUAGUAUCUCUGUUUUGUCUGAGUUUAAAGUAAAACAUUUGCCGCCAUCCACUUCCUUAUGUCUGAAACACAGGCUUCCAGGGAGGGCAAUUUUGGGGCUUCACCAUGUUUCAUCAAAAUGUACAGCUGUGCAUCGUCCGCAUAGCAGUGAAAGUUAACAUUAUGUUUCCGAAUGACAUCACCAAGAGGUAAAAUAUAUAGUGGUCCUAAAACGGAACCCUGAGGAACACUGAAAUUUACAGUUGAUUUGUCAGAAGACAAACCAUCCACAGAGACAAACUGAUAUCUUUCUGACAGAUAAGAUCUAAACCAGGCCAGAACUUGUCUGUGUAGACAAAUUUGGGUUCCCAGUCUCUCCAAAAUAAUGUGGUGAUCGAUGGUAUUAAAAGCAGCACUAAGGUCUAGGAGGACAGAUGCAGAGCCUUGGUCUGACGCCAUUAAAAGGUAAUUUACCACCGUCACAAGUGCAGUCUCAGUGCUAUGAAGGGGUCUAAAACCAGACUGAAGCGUUUCUUAUACAUGGUUUGUGUUCAGGAAGGCAGUGAGUUGCUGCGCAAUAGCUUUUUCUAAAGUUUUUGAGAGGAAUGGGAGAUUCGAUAUAGGCCAAUACUUUUUGAUAUUUUCUGGGUCAAGGUUUGGCUUUUUCAAGAGAGGCUUUAUUACUGCCACUUAGUGAGUUUGGUACACAUCCGGUGGAUAGGGGGCCUAUUAUUAUGUUCAACAUAGUAGGGUCAAGCACAGAAAGCAGCUCUUUCAGUAGUUUAUUUGGAAUAGGGUCCAGUAUGCAGCUUGAAGGUUUAGAGGCCAAGACUAUUUUUAUCAAUGUCAAGAUAUAGUAUUUAAAGAUAACUUGCGUGUCUCCUUUGAUCCUAGGUCCUGGCAGAGUUGUGCAGACUCAGGACAACUGAGCUUUGGAGGAAUACGCAGAUUUAAAGAGGAGUCUGUAAUUUGCUUUCUAACGAACAUGAUCUUUUCCUCAAAGAAGUUAAUUAAUUUAUCACUGCUGAAGUGAAAGCCAUCCUCUCUUGGGGAAUGCUGCUCUUUAGUGAGCUUUGCGACGGUAUCAAAAAUAAAUGUUGGAUUGUUCUUCUUCUCCACAAUGAAGUUGGAAAAAUAGGAUGAUCGAGCAUCAGUGAGGGCUCUUCGGUACUGCACGGUACUGUCUUUCCAAGCCAGUCGAAAGACUUCCAGUUUGGUGUGGUGCCAUUUCCGUUCCAAUUUUCUGGAAGCUUGCUUCAGGGCUCGGGUAUUUUCUGUAUACCAGGGAGCUCGUUUCUUAUGGCACAUUUAGUUUGUUUUUAGGGGUGCGAUUGCAUCGAGGGUGUUACGCAAGGUUACAUUUAGUUCCUCACUUUGGUGGUUAACUGAUUUUGUACUCUGACGUCCUUGGGUAGGUGGAGGGAGUCUGGAAGGACAUCUAAGAAUCUUUGGGUUGUCUGAGACUAUAGCAUGGCUUUUGAUAAUCCUUGGUUCGGGUCUGAGCAAAUUAUUUGUUGCGGUUGCAAAUGUAAUAAAAUGGUGGUCCGAUAGUCCAUGAUUAUGAGGAAAAACAUUAAGAUUCACAAUAUUUAUUCCACGGGACAAAACUAGGUCCAGAGUAUGACUGUGGCAGUAUGACUGUGGCAGUGAGUAGACAUGUUGGACAAAACCCACUGAGUCAAUGAUGGCUCCGAAAGCCUUUUGGAGUGGGUCUGUGGACUUUUCCAUGUGAGUAUUCAAGUCACCAAAAAUGUGAGUAUUAUCUGCCAUGACUACAAGGUCUGAUAGGAAUUCAGGGAACUCGGUGAGGAGCGCUGUAUAUGGCCCAUGAGGCCUGUAAACAGUAGCUAUAAAAAGUGAUUGAGUAGGCUGCAUAGAUUUCACGACUAGAAGAUGAAAACGCAGUCUUUUUUUGUUGUUGUAAAUUGAAAUUUGCUAUCAUAAAUGUUAGCAACACCUCCACUUUUGCGCCGAUGCGCUGGGGAUAUGGUCACUAGUGUAACCAGGAGGAGAGGUCUCAUUUGACACAGUAAAUUCAUCAGGCUUAAGCCAUUGUUUCAGUCAGGCUAAUCACAUCAAGAUUAUGAUUAGUUCAUUGACUAUAAUUGCCUUUGAAGUGAGGGAUCAAACAUUAAGUAGCCCUAUUUUGAGAUGUGAGAAAUCACAAUCUCUUUCAAUAAUGGCAGGAAUGGAGGAGGUAUUUAUUCCAGUGAGAUUGCUAAGGCGAACACCACCAUGUUUAGUUUUGUCCAACCAAGAUCGAGGCACAGACAUGGUCUCAAUGAGGUUAGCUGAGCUGACUACACUGACUGUGCUAGUGGCAGACUCCACUAAGCUGGCAGGCUGGCUAACAGCCUGCUGCCUGGCCUGCACCCUCUCUCAUUGUGGAGCUAGAGGAGUUAGAGCCCUGUCUGUGUUCAUAGAUAAGAUGAGAGCACCCCUCCAGCUAGGAUGGAGUCUGUCACUCCUCAGCAGGCCAGGCUUGGUCUUGUUUGUGGGUGAGUCCCAGAAAGAGGGCCAAUUAUCUACAAAUUCUAUCUUUUGGGAGGAGCAAAAAACAGUUUUCAACCAGCGAUUGAGUUGUGAGAGACUGCUUGGUGACCUCUGACUGUUUCAUCCUAACAUCAUUGGUGCCGACGUGGAUAACAAUAUUCCUAUACUCUCUACACUCGCCAGUUUUAGCUUGAGCCAGCACCAUCUUCAGAUUAGCCUUAACGUCGGUAGCCCUGCCCCCUGGUAAAGUGUAUGAUCGCUGGAUGAUUAGUUUUAAGUCUAAUACUGCAGGUAAUGGAGUCGACAAUGACUAGGGUGUUCAUUUUGUCAGAGCUAAAGGUGGGAGGCUUCGGCGUCUCAGACCCCGUAACGGGUGGAGAGAAGACUCGGACAGACUCGUUGCUAAAUGGGGAGAACCGGUUGAAAGUUUCUGUCGGCUGAAUGGGCGACAUUGGUUGAGUAUUCCUACAGCAUUUCCCUCCAGAAGCCAUGAGAAAGUUGUCCGGCUGCAGGGACUGUGCGAGGGGAUUUAUACUACUAUCUGUACUUACUGAUGGCACAGAUUCUGUUUCAUCCUUUCCUACACUUAAAUGACCCUUGCUUAACGAUUGCGUCUGAAGCUGGGCUUGCAGCGCAGCUGUCCUCGCCAGAAGAUCGUUCUCCUGUAUAUUAUGAGUACAGUGACUGCAAUUAGAAGGUUAAAUGUUACUUCUUAGCUUCGGCUGGUGGACGUCGUGUAGAACCAUGUCCAGAAAGCAUCAUGUUAAUGUUACCACUUAGCUUCGGCUGGUGGAGGUCGUGUAGAACCAUGUCCAGAAAGCAUCAUGUUAAUGUUACCACUUAGCUUCGGCUGGUGGAGGUCGUGUAGAACCAUGUCCAGAAAGCAUCAUGUUAAUGUUACCACUUAGCUUCGGCUGGUGGAGGUCGUGUAGAACCAUGUCCAGAAAGCAUCAUGUUAAUGUUACCACUUAGCUUCGGCUGGUGGAGGUCUUGUAGAACCAUGUCCAGAAAGCAUCAUGUUAAUGUUACCACUUAGCUUCGGCUGGUGGAGGUCGUGUAGAACCAUGUCCAGAAAGCAUCAUGUUAAUGUUACCACUUAGCUUCGGCUGGUGGAGGUCGUGUAGAACCAUGUCCAGAAAGCAUCAUGUUAAUGUUACCACUUAGCUUCGGCUGGUGGAGGUCGUGUAGAACCAUGUCCAGAAAGCAUCAUGUUAAUGUUACCACUUAGCUUCGGCUGGUGGAGGUCGUGUAGAACCAUGUCCAGAAAGCAUCAUGUUAAUGUUACCACUUAGCUUCGGCUGGUGGAGGUCGUGUAGAACCAUGUCCAGAAAGCAUCAUGUUAAUGUUACCACUUAGCUUCGGCUGGUGGAGGUCGUGUAGAACCAUGUCCAGAAAGCAUCAUGUUAAUGUUACCACUUAGCUUCGGCUGGUGGAGGUCGUGUAGAACCAUGUCCAGAAAGCAUCAUGUUAAUGUUACCACUUAGCUUCGGCUGGUGGAGGUCGUGUAGAACCAUGUCCAGAAAGCAUCAUGUUAAUGUUACCACUUAGCUUCGGCUGGUGGAGGUCGUGUAGAACCAUGUCCAGAAAGCAUCAUGUUAAUGUUACCACUUAGCUUCGGCUGGUGGAGGUCGUGUAGAACCAUGUCCAGAAAGCAUCAUGUUAAUGUUACCACUUAGCUUCGGCUGGUGGAGGUCUUGUAGAACCAUGUCCAGAAAGCAUCAUGUUAAUGUUACCACUUAGCUUCGGCUGGUGGAGGUCGUGUAGAA